UGGGGAAUCAUGGUCAAUGGGCGAAAGCCUGAACCUGCGACGCCGCGUGAGUGAUGAAGGUCGUAAGAUCGUAAAACUCUUUUCAGGGAUCUUAAAGCCUGUCUGUCAACAACAGGCAGGUCUGACUCUCCCUGGAAGAAGCCCCAGCCAACUACGUGCCAGCAGCUGCGGUAAUACGUAGGGGGCGAGCGUUAUUCGGAAUUACUGGGUGUAAAGGGUAUGUAGGCGGCCCUUCAAGUCGCGUGUCAAAGUCCAGUGCUCAACGCUGGGUGGGCACGCGAUACUGGCGGGCUUGAGGGCUGGAGAGGUGAGCGGAAUUCCCGGUGUAGUGGUAAAAUGCGUAGAGAUCGGGAGGAACACCAGCGGCGCAGGCGGCUCACUGGACAGUUUCUGACGCUAAGAUACGAAAGCGUGGGGAGCAAACA
rnacentral:rRNA from 1 species